GGAGGACUAGGCCUCGCUUAGAGCCAAAUCAAAGGGACCAGCUCAGAGGACCGGGCGGGAUUCCUGGCUCCACCCCCAGCAGAAGCUCUGGUCUCCUGGUGAGUCUGUCCCAGGAGGAGGAGGAGGAGGAGGAGGAGGACCCCGAGGAAGAAGCAGGCCGAGAGCUGCUGGGGAGCUGGGAAGAAGGCCGCAGGCUGUGAGGAAGAAGGACCAGGACAUCCGUGCAAGGCCUCCGGAGGGAAGUGGUUCUUCUGUGAGGAUCGCUGGGGAUCUGCAUUGCCAGGUCUGAGGACUGCAAAGCAGAAGAAGGAAGGAAGGAAGGAGGAAGGAAGGAAGGAAGGAAGGAAGGAAGGAAGGAAGGAAGGAAGGAAGGGCGGAGGAAAUGGCCCAACUUCCCGAAAGACUUACCUGGAGUCCGUGAUGAGCCGGAUGAGGGAGAACAAACUGAGGCUGAAUCCAAGGAAGACAGAGCAUCUUUCACCAACUACAAAUGAAAAGAUUUCUAAGUCAAUGCUAACACUACACUGUGCUGCCAACACAGUGCAGCCCGUCAAGCUCGUCACUCCCACCCCAAUAUCUCAACUGCCUAAAAUCACAAAAAAUCUCAGUCAUCAGCUCUGAUUCUAAAAAAGGUGAUUUUGGUAUUUGCAGACCCUAAGCCUGCACAGUGACUUCUGGGCCAAAGCAGGGAACAUGAUGCUCCCAACAUAGACUCGAGAGACCACUCCAUUCCCAACAAGAGAGACAACAGAGAAGUCACACCAAGAUCACCCUCCAAUCCUGAAAGUGACUCCGAACCCAGCUCAAAUGGAGGAUUAUACCAUCAACCCUAGCUGGUCUUCUCAACACCGACUGCCUCCGAACUGAAAAGCAUCCCCUGCACGAUACUGACUAUAUAGAAGAGACCCUACGUGAUACCAACACUCUCCGGGUCACAGGGAAUCCCUUCACCAUCUCUACUCUCCAAAACGCUAUUCCAUAGGAUCUGGUGUAUUGCUACUGAGAACGUCGACAUUGAGACUACUCUCCAUCUGAUCAUGCCUGAUCAUUCCACUUACUUCUUCGAUGACAGAUCUGUCAUUGAUGAUAGAGAACGCUAUCUCCACCCUUGCUCUUGGGCUCCACAUCGAAACCAAUAUCCGGGGAGAUUGGACCAUCCAGACUCUCGGUCCCAAUCACACUUUCCUCAGCACUGCAGGUCUUGGUCUCAGUCAAGAGAUAAGAGAACUCAACCACCUAAGCAGCUGGACUUUGACCUCCUACCACCGGAUUCCUCGACUGAAGAAUCCGCCUCAGAGGAAGAUGCAGAAACAGCCCUGGACAUCGCAUGGGGUUCCACACCUUCAGAUCUAAUUGAAGAUCCAAAGCCUCUGCCUCCCUCGGAGUACCUGAAGCUCUUCACUGACCAAGUGGCCUAUAUGGCUACCUCUUUAGGUAUCCAGGUUAACGAACCUCCUAAAUCUCCUCCUGAUCCCAUUUUUGGGCCAACUGAUGCUGAAACUUUGCACUCUUUCUUCCUACCACUGAACUGAAUGGACCACUGAAUGGACAUUGUCAACGCUUGCUGGGCAUUUUUGCCACCUACCUCUCAGAAGCUGGAAGGUUUUUUACAAGGUUCAAGCCAGGGACAAUCAGUUCCUUCUGUGCCAUCCUACUCCUCACUCCAUUAUAAUGGACUCUGCUCAGUCCUGUUCACAGAACAGAAUCCAUUCAGCAACAUCUGACACAGAAGGCAGAAAAGCAGAUGCCCUUUGGCCUGUCCCCUUUCCAAACAGCUCCUCCAUAUACCUCUCACCAUGCCACUGACUGUUCAUUCAAUGUUCGCUGCGGCAACUCUGCACUGGCACACGUGGAUGUGUUCACCUACAUUGGCACCUGGAACAAGAAGAGGAAGAGAGAAUUUGACCUUUUGAUGGCCAGGCCCUUGUUGGAAAGGAGACAAAAACUGAAAAAUAUGGCAAGACCUAUGACCUCCCAACAACCUGCCUACAAUUCCUCAAGGGGCAACAAAUCCUCUUCUGCUGCUGCUGCUAUAUCAUUUUGUCCUUCCAGCUACUCUCAAUCGACUAACCGUUCCUUUCGUCCUUCUAGGACCUCCCUAUUUCAGAAAAGACAGGACUCCGUCGUAAAAUCACAACCUUCCAAAUCUAAACUACCAGUGCAUAGCAAGUGCUCGGGACUCAAGCAGCUGCAAAUAUUAUUCUUUGAAGCACUCCACACACAAAUCGGGCUUUGUCUCUAGCUUAUUUCGAUGUAUUUCUGGGUUUUUAAAAUGCUGCUUUUAAUGAGAUUUUCUGAAAACACCAGAGCAAGUAGGGGGAGGCAUUGACAUAGAAUCAUUCUCAUGAUAAGAGGGAUAUAAUCUUUUAGGAAUGCAGAUAGAGGCUUUAGAAAUCUCUCUUCCCACCCCGCCAUUGGCUAGAAGGAAAAUACGGAGGCACGCGAUGUGAACUUGCACCAAAAGAAAACCUGAGAGCAGAGGGGAGGGGCUGCUUCCCUCCUUGUCGCGAGUGCGAUUCGAAGUGUCUUCACUCAACAUUGACCCUGAAGCAUGAAGCCAGGUGCGAAUAACUCCCUGGCCUUCCAGGGUUUUCUAACGGCUUUACAUGUUUUCGUUGUUCAUGGUUUUAGACUGUUUUUAAAAUUGUUUUGUAAGGAUUGUUUUUAAAAGUGCCUAGGUAAUGAGAGCAGCAGUAGCCAUCUUGCUGCCCCUCGGGCAUCCCAAUAGUCUGCCCAUUGAAGGAACUGCCUCACCUUGCCUCAUGGAAGGACCGCCCUUACCUGUCAUCACUGCUCCAUUAAGGGUGUGGAGAGCUCACUUUACAUAGGCCUCUGGAUUAAAGGCAGCAAGGUUAGUUGUCCUGUGUGUCCAUCAGGUUAACAUGUUCCUUUUGUGAUAUAGUCUGGAACCCUGUGUAACUUUGUGGCAAAGUUUGUGUGAGAUGUCUAUGGGUGGUUUUGUUUGAUUUGAAAACCAAUCCAGAUCCCAUACUUUACAAUAGCCUGCUGCAAUGUGUUCAUUUUUGGAAAGGCUGACAUCCUGACCCCCAGUUCAUUCUUGUGCUGAAGAGUGUGUGUGUGCUUCCUUCCUUCCUUUCCUGCUUGCACAUGUCCUGGGCUUCACUGAGUCCAUGAGUCACUCUUAGGGGGCAGAAGUCAGGGACUGGAUUGUGUCCAAGUGCCUUGUUUUAAACUAUUAAGCCAAGCUCACAGCCAUUGCUUGGAAUGCAUUGCAAUAGGAAGCUUGAGAUUCCCACUUUAGCCUUCUGGAGGGGAUGUCUGGCCAGUUUCCCAACUUAGCACCACAUGAAGGAUGCCCAGAAGCCACAUGUGUGGUCACACAUGGGUGGUGAAGGGGAGCAGGAGAACAUUUGCCAUCCAUGGGUGCUCUUUCUGGGCCUUCCUGACUGAACGCCAUCAGGUAUAGAGAUAGAAUGCAAGUACAUAUCAUAGGAACACAGGAAUAUAGGAAGCUGCCAUAUACUGAGUCAGACCAUUGGUCUGUCUAGCUCAGUAUUGUCUACACAGACUGGCAGCAGCUUCUCAAAAUCUGCAGAGAGGAAUCUCUCUCAGCCCUAUCUUGGAGAUGCUGCCAGGGAGGGAACUUGGAAGCCAGAUGCUCUUUCCAGAGCAGCUCCAUCCCCUAAGGGAAAUAUCUUACAGUGAUCACACAUGUGGUCUCCCAUUCAUAGGCAACUGUGGCAGACCCUGCUUAGCUAAGGGGAAAAGUCAUGCUUGCUACCACAUGUGGUCUCCUAUUCAAAUGCAACCAGGUUGGACCCUGCUUAGCUAGGGGGCCAGGCCAUGCUUGCCACCACAAUACCAUCUCUCUUUGCUAGAUCAGCUGUCCUCUCUAUGCAAGAACAUCAUCCUCUAUGCAAGAACAUAGCCUGGGACUCUAGUCCGAUCUAGAAUGGGCCCCAUCCAUAUACGUUUCUAUCCAUUCUGAAAAUAAAGCCAGCCGCUCCAGAACCUGUGAAGUAGGCCUAACCUACUUCACAGGGUUGUUCUGAGGAGAAACUCAAGUAUGUAUUACACCGCUCUGGGCUCCUUGGAGGAAGAGCGGGAUAUAAAAUGUAAAAAUAAAUAAAAUACAUGGGAGCACUCUCUGCUGUAAGAUA